UAGUGAAGCCACUUUGCCAACACAGGCAUCAGCUCACCAGUUUCUAGACAGUGGCUGGAAGUGGUGGAGGGCAGAGCCUGCUGGACAUUGUUCUCAGCAUCUAGCUCUGCCACAGCAGAAAGAUUGCCUCCAGUCCAACCCCAAGCUUCAACAUGCCAGCCUGUUUUAAAGUUGCAUGCCGAAGCUUGGGGUUCAGCAUGCAUCUUUAAUGCAGCAUGUUUUAAAGAUGAAGUAAAAAACCUGGUGUGUGUAGAUUGUGUGGCUCAUUAUAUUUACAUCUCCUUGUGUCUUGCUCUGUCCUUUGGAGGAUAAAGGGGGCAGAUCCUCUGGUGCAACCAGCUAUGAAGGGAAGAACCAGUUCAGCCCAUUUGUUCUCUUUCAGCCUACAGAAAUAUCUGAAGAGCAGAAACCCGGUGUCCACCAUGUUCUACAGAAGACAAACACACUCUGCAGGCCAAAAAGAAGCAUCACAGAUAUUUCGUGGGUUGCAUGCAAUGCUGUCCCUGGAGAGCAGUAACUGAAAAGAGUGAAGGCAGUGAUAGCCCAGUUCAGGCACGUUGCUGAGGAGCAGAGCAUUCACCAGGUGUCUGUAAGGGGGGGGUCUCGAGCUGAUUCCUGUUCAAACUCCAUGUGCCACCUGCACAGCUCAGGGCACCUGCGCUGCGCGGCUGCAGGCUGCGCCCUGCAGAUCUCUGAGGGGACAAGCCCAGGCACACUUGCCAGCUUAGUGUGUGUCCCAGAUUGUCUGGAUCAGCCAGCCAUGAUCACAUCUGAGCCCACCAGGAGGGGCAGCAAGGCCUGCUCUUCAUCUGUAGAGUGUGGAUGGCCCAAAGCACCCAGAAGUUGCACAGUGGAGUUGGAAGAUGGUGGCAUAGAAGGAAGGUUGGAGGGAUGAGUCAAAAAACGUGCUGUGCUUUUCACCUCAUGGUGCUUUUGGACUUAACAGCACUUAAAAACCUUUCCAGGCUUCUUGCUUCAGUUUGGGAGAGCCUCUGAACCCCACUGAGAAUCCUUUGUACUGCUGAUUUUGUUGUUAAAUCUGCUCAGGUCCUGAAUGUUUCUGUUGUAAAUUUUCAAGCUGUGUGGUUAUGCAGAAGCAAUAGAAAGAGGGUCUCUUGCUUAUUGGGGCUGAGAUCAUAAUUCCAAUUCUAUAGGAAUUAAAAGUGGGGAAUCCUUUGCUUAGAAAAUAGUGGAAAAACAGAAAAUAAGAGCCAUGAGGAAAGGUCUGUGAACUGCUGGCCAUAUAGUUCAGGAAGGAAAGCAAGCACAGGGUGUUAUAUGGUUGCUGUGAUGGUCAUCUGUUGUACAAGCUAAAAACACUGUGGACCUUAAAGACAUCUCUCUUGAAUUCUAAAAUGCCUUAACUAUUCUGAGGCAUUUGUACAGCUGAACAGACUCAAGGUCUCUGAAAUAAAUUGGAAAUACCUGUAAUUCUGCAGAAAAUUAGAGAUGAGUUAUGUAGUCCCAAAGCAGAGGAAGAAAUAAAAAGGAGUCAUAAAACUUCAGGUCUCUGGGAAAGCUCUGGGUGAAGAUGACUUUCUAAUAGAAUUUUCUAAACUCUCUCAAUCUCACUUGGCUUCUGACAUAUGGAAAAAUUUUUGAAAGGCCAAAGCAGAAGGGUUCAAUUUCAGCAUGAAUUGCAGUGUUGGGUUUUCUUAACUCUCUCUCCUAGGAAAUAACUCACCAAUGCACCAUUCUCAAUAAUUAAAUUACAGGCCAAUUCUUCUGACUAAUGUAACUCAGAAGAUGCAGGUUAAAACAGCAUCUAGAAAAUGUCUGAGCAGAGUACCUUAUGGACAAGAACUCAGCAUAUAGCUUGAGGUUGACAUUAAUCAGAAAGCUGCUAGAGAGUCUUAUAGGCCUGUUAUUAUAAUUUGCUAUUUUUAAAAUUCUCUGAAGUAAUCAGAAAAUCAACCAGCUCAACAUCCCUAAAGAGAGCUGCUUCCCACCCACCAGCAGUGGCUGACUUCACUGUUGACAUAAAAACCAUGAAGAUCUCAGUCUAGUAUUCUGCCAUGUAAUUGUAUCCUUAAUUUUGGCCUUGUUGAAAGUCUGCUGGAAAACUGAUCUUGUGUGUCCUCAUUAGAAGCAAUUCAUAUGUAAAUCAUUUAAGAUUUUUUUUAACUUAAAGAAAGAAAACAUUCCUGUGACUCAAACAUUCUGCAGGCUCUUGCUCCUCUUGCGGCUCCUGUGUGGCUGUGACUCCUAGGAAAUCUGUGCCUCCUGGCAAAUCAGAGUGGGAAGGUUGCUGGCCAGGCUCUCACCUUCUCUUGCCUUAGCUGGUGGAGAAAGCACCUGUCAAGAGACUUUAUCUUUUCCCAGCCUGGAGUCAGUCAUUGAAGGGAUGUGAGGUGAAGCUCUGCUCUAUUCUACACUCUUCUGCCUGGCAUACACUCGUGGAAGGUGCUUCACUCCCUUCAGCUAAUACUAGCCAUGUAAAUAACAGCUUUUCUGCAUAUUGGAAGGCUUAAUUUUUGCUCUUUUAUGUGCAAAAAUAAGUUGAAGUGGUAUUAGUGGAAUGACAUCCUAGUGUUAAAAUGGAAUGACGUUGAAAAAAACAUUAAAUAAACACGUCGGAUGACUUCUCUGGGCCUUUCUCAAUGAAACUGAUGAAGCAGCAUACGAGGUAACAGCCAAGUUUUUGUCUAAAAGUACAACUUUGAUAAAGUUUGGGCACCUAUUUCUUCUGAGUAUUUCUGGAGCUGGAAAUGGAAGUCAUCAUGAAAGUGUUGACAGCAAUUUGAAGGUGUAAAGGAAUACUGCAUCUUUACCAUGAUUUCUAUGUUUUUGAAUUGGAUGAGCUGAGCCCUUCACACUCUUAACUGUUCCUAAAAUACAAUGUCUGAGGUAUUUGUCUCUAAGAAAGCUGAGUUUUGUUGCUUAAGAAUAAAUUUUGAACUACUGCUGAAGGUGUUUGGAA